rnacentral:rRNA from 1 species
UGAGCAAUCUGCCCUUCUCUUCGGAAUAAGCGUUGGAAACGACGUCUAAUGCCGAAUACGACCUCCUUUCGCAUGAUCGGAGGUGGAAAGCUCCGGCGGAGAAGGAUGAGCUCGCGGCCUAUCAGCUAGUUGGUGUGGGUAAUGGCCCACAAGGCGACGACGGGUAGCCGGCCUGAGGAGGGUGACCGGCCACACGUGGGACUGAGACACGGCCCAGACCUCCGUACGGGAGNAGCG